UAUUAAAAGAUUAACAUUUUUUAUAUAAAAAUAUACCGAAUGAUCUCUAAAAUCUCAAUCAUUGGUAACAUCUACUAAAUUAUUAGUAUAUUAAUAUUUUAGGUAAAUAGAAAACAGAGGACUUAAGAUUAAAUCAAUUAAAAUAUUUUCCAAAAAAUGUAAAUGACCAUACGAAACCCCGUAGAUUUGAAACUCUAAAAAUGACUGUAGAGAGGCUUCAAGCAAUUUUCUAUAGUAUUAGUCAAUUG
rnacentral:lncRNA from 1 species